UCAGAUUGAAUCGAUGGGAGCAUUGAGGCAUCAAAUUAUGGAGCACCGUCCUUCUACAACUAGUCAACCUGAGUUCAGCGCUGGGAAUCGACGGAUCGCUGAUGCUGCUGCACAAGAACAGAGGCCAGGACUGGCAACGGCGGCAAGGUGCAGCAAGGGCCGUGUUCUGCACCGCAACAGUUUCUCUCUUGCACCAUAUCAACGAGGCAGCUGCAGCUACGACCACAAGGACAAGACCGAGGAGUAGUAGUGGCGCACAAGCCAUUAGCAAGCUCAAACAACUGCACGACAUGAUAUUUAUGGAGUAAUAAUUUACGUGUAGCUUGAAACACUUAAAAUACAUGUACUACUGAGCAUGUGCUGAUCAAGCUAAAAUUUUGCAUGAAAAUAAUGAUAGCAUGAUGUACUCCGUAGCUAUCACAAGUUUAGUGCAAAACAUAUGUGCAUGCAUCAAAGAAUUUGAGAUUUCUUACUCUGUAAAAUUGCAUGCAUCAUAUAGAAUUUGCACCAAAAUAUGUGCAUAUUAUCUAUCAUUCAUUUUUUUUA